rnacentral:lncRNA from 1 species
UCUGAUAUAUAUAUAAAUUUCAAAAACAUAUUAAUUAGGCCUUUUCACGUAUGGCUGACUAAUAAGAUAGAAAGCGGGAAUACAACUGCCACGGAAGAAUGUUCUCGAAGAUUCGAGUGCGUCGAAGACACGAGCCGCCAGUAAAAGAGGAAGUCGUCAAUUCCAAUUCCAACAGGAACCCGACUGUCCCCGACUGUAAGUCGGCGCAAGAACCGCUUAUAUAAACCUAAGCUUCUACUCCUACAAUCCUCAAAUCAAACCAUCUAAACUAGGAGCAAUCCGACGCGGC